rnacentral:rRNA from 1 species
AAUAGAUACCCUGGUAGUCCACGCCGUAAACUAUGGAUGCUAGCUGUUGGCCGUAUCGACCCGGUCAGUAGCGAAGCUAACGCGUUAAGCAUCCCGCCUGUGGAGUACGAGCGCAAGCUUAAAACAUAAAGGAAUUGACGGGGACCCGCACAAGCGGUGGAGCGUGUUGUUUAAUUCGAUGAUAAGCGAAGAACCUUACCCAGACUUGACAUCCUUGGAAGGCCUCCGAAAGGAGACUGUGCCUUCGGGAACCAAGUGACAGGUGUUGCAUGGCCGUCGUCAGCUCGUGUCGUGAGAUGUUUGGUUAAGUCCAUCAACGAGCGCAACCCUUAUAGUUAGUUGAAUUUUUCUAGCUAGACUGCCCUGGCAACAGGGAGGAAGGGGGGGAUGAUGUCAGGUCAGUAUUACCCUUACGUCUGGGGCUACAAACACGCUACAAUGGCCGGUACAAAGGGCAGCCAACCCGCGAGGGGGAGCUAAUCCCAUCAAAGCCGGUCUCAGUUCGGAUUGCAGGCUGAAACUCGCCUGCAUGAAGCCGG